rnacentral:tRNA from 1 species
GGCACUUUGGCCGAGUGGUUAAGGCGCAGCCCUGCUAAGGCUGUGCGCUAUGCGUGCGUGAGUUCGAAUCUCACAGGUGUCG